GAUCCUGGCUCAGAUUGAACGCUAGCGGGAUGCUUUACACAUGCAAGUCGAACGGCAGCACGAGAGAGCUUGCUCUCUUGGUGGCGAGUGGCGGACGGGUGAGUAAUAUAUCGGAACGUGCCCAGUANCGGGGGAUAACUACUCGAAAGAGUGGCUAAUACCGCAUACGCCCUACGGGGAAAGGGGGGAUCGCAAGACCUCUCACUAUUGGAGCGGCCGAUAUCGGAUUAGCUAGUUGGUGGGGUAAAGGCUCACCAAGGCAACGAUCCGUAGCUGGUUUGAGAGGACGACCAGCCACACUGGGACUGAGACACGGCCCAGACUCCUACGGGAGGCAGCAGUGGGGAAUUUUGGACAAUGGGGGCAACCCUGAUCCAGCCAUCCCGCGUGUGCGAUGAAGGCCUUCGGGUUGUAAAGCACUUUUGGCAGGAAAGAAACGGCGCCGGAUAAUACCUGGCGCUAAUGACGGUACCUGCAGAAUAAGCACCGGCUAACUAC
rnacentral:rRNA from 1 species